UACGAAGGGGGCUAGCGUUGCUCGGAAUCACUGGGCGUAAAGGGUGCGUAGGCGGGUCUUUAAGUCAGGGGUGAAAUCCUGGAGCUCAACUCCAGAACUGCCUUUGAUACUGAAGAUCUUGAGUUCGAGAGAGGUGAGUGGAAUUCCGAGUGUAGAGGUGAAAUUCGUAGAUAUUCGGAGGAACACCAGUGGCGAAGGCGGCUCACUGGCUCGACACUGACGCGUGAGGUGCGAAAGGCGUGGGGAGCAAACACGG
rnacentral:rRNA from 1 species